AAAGAGUGUAAAUCGGAUUUUAUUUCCGUCACAGUUCUAAAUCAUGGGAGUAGGCUAUUAAAUUAUCGAAGGAAGGAUAUUAAGCCUAUUUCUGUUCAGAAAAUAUGUCUAAUCAAAGACGGUUUGCCAAAAACCGUCAAGACCCAGGUGCCGCUGCUGCAAUCCGAGAAAAUGUUGCUUCCGCAAUGAGACAAAGUGCCAUUCAGGCAAGACCAAAGUUGGCAGAACCCAUAGAUUAUGAAACAUACAUUGUCAAAAACAAAGUUUUGUUGCAUAAUGACCCUCAACGUGAAAUGCUCAAUUUUCCACAUGAUGAUAUUGAGAUACCUCUGCCAAACCCCAGUAAAAAGAUUCGUACAGUUAAAUCUACAGUGCCUAAAUCGGCAAUGAAAGAAGGAUCAGCAGCAAGCUUGAUGGUACGAGAAUGUAUGAAAACAUACACAGAUAAUUGUCAUACUAUAAAGUUUAGAUAUGAAGCAUACUCUGGAAGUUAUCAACAAUUACCUAAAUUAGUUGAGUGUGAGCUAAAAAUGGAAUCCGUAUCUGCACUAAGGUUUUAAAAUAAUACUCACAGGGUCGUCCAGUCUUCACAAUAUAGUGGAGAUGACCCUGUAUGCCAUAUUGUAGUUUAUUGAAUAAUAAAAAGAGAUAAAACAUCCCGUCUGAAUUUUUUUCAGUACUACACUGAACACAUAAUAACUAUAUAUUUAUGACUGUCGUUUAUCUUUUGGGGGUAGGUGGCUACACAAGGGCAACCCUGGGGCAAAAAUUGGGGCUGUACCCAUGCAACUUUGAAUAAACAAUGGGUAUUCUAUUUUUAUUGUUCCCUGCCUUUCGAAGAAAGCAGGGGACUAUUAUAAUGGGUUCGUCAGUUUGUCUGUCCGUCACACUUUUUG